rnacentral:lncRNA from 1 species
GCCCUCAUGAUCCAGUGGUUUAUCUCUGAAUGUGGCUGCAUUGGAGAUCAAGCCCUUCAUACAUGAUUUUUGCGAGACUGAAACCUUGAAGACUUUGUGCUCGCUGUAUAGUAGCCCUUUGGAAGAUGUCUACUCUCUUCAAAGCAAUAAACCUGACUUAAGCCAGUAAGAUGUCUGCCCUUGGAAGAUGUUGGAGGCUUUGUACAUCACUAGCUUGAACUUGCAGUCAACAUAUUUCUCUUUAGGACCCAAAGGAGUGGCAAGGACCCCAGCAGUGUUGCCUUGCAAAGGACUUGAUGGGUAUGUUUGAUUUAAAAAUUCACAUUUCCCACCCAACCAUAAAAAUAAGGAAGGAAAAAAGAAAGAAAAAAAUUUGUCUGUUUUAAACAGGC